rnacentral:rRNA from 1 species
UAACGCGUGGGUAACCUGCCUCAUACAGGGGGAUAACAGUUAGAAAUGACUGCUAAUACCGCAUAAGCGCACAGUGCUGCAUGGCACAGUGUGAAAAACUCCGGUGGUAUGAGAUGGACCCGCGUCUGAUUAGCUAGUUGGUGGGGUAACGGCCUGCCAAGGCGACGAUCAGUAGCCGGCCUGAGAGGGUGAACGGCCACAUUGGGACUGAGACACGGCCCAA